GCGGACCGACGGGAGCUUGCUCCCUUAGGUCAGCGGCGGACGGGUGAGUAACACGUGGGUAACCUGCCUGUAAGACUGGGAUAACUCCGGGAAACCGGGGCUAAUACCGGAUGCUUGAUUGAACCGCAUGGUUCAAUCAUAAAAGGUGGCUUUUAGCUACCACUUACAGAUGGACCCGCGGCGCAUUAGCUAGUUGGUGAGGUAACGGCUCACCAAGGCGACGAUGCGUAGCCGACCUGAGAGGGUGAUCGGCCACACUGGGACUGAGACACGGCCCAGACUCCUACGGGAGGCAGCAGUAGGGAAUCUUCCGCAAUGGACGAAAGUCUGACGGAGCAACGCCGCGUGAGUGAUGAAGGUUUUCGGAUCGUAAAACUCUGUUGUUAGGGAAGAACAAGUACCGUUCGAAUAGGGCGGCACCUUGACGGUACCUAACCAGAAAGCCACGGCUAACUACGUGCCAGCAGCCGCGGUAAUACGUAGGUGGCAAGCGUUGUCCGGAAUUAUUGGGCGUAAAGCGCGCGCAGGCGGUUUCUUAAGUCUGAUGUGAAAGCCCCCGGCUCACCCGGGGAGGGUCAUUGGAAACUGGGGAACUUUGAGUGCAGAAGAGGAGAGUGGAAUUCCACGUGUAGCG
rnacentral:rRNA from 1 species